rnacentral:rRNA from 1 species
CAGCCGCCGCGGUAAUACGUAGGUCCCGAGCGUUGUCCGGAUUUAUUGGGCGUAAAGCGAGCGCAGGCGGUUAGAUAAGUCUGAAGUUAAAGGCUGUGGCUUAACCAUAGUACGCUUUGGAAACUGUUUAACUUGAGUGCAGAAGGGGAGAGUGGAAUUCCAUGUGUAGCGGUGAAACGCGUAGAUAUAUGGAGGAACACCGGUGGCGAAAGCGGCUCUCUGGCUUGUAACUGACGCUGAGGAGCGAAAGCGUGGGGAGCGAACAGGAUUAGAUACCCGAGUAGUCCCUGUCUCUUAUACA